rnacentral:rRNA from 1 species
AGAGUUUGAUCAUGGCUCAGAAUCAACGCUGGCGGCGUGCCUAACACAUGCAAGUCGAACGAGAAAGUUCGGUGUUGUAGCAAUACAAUACUGGGUGAGUACAGUGGCGUACGGGUGAGUAACACGUGGAUAACCUACCUCCGAAUGGGGAAUAACCCUGGGAAACCGGGGCUAAUACCGCAUAACAUCCUGGAACGAUAGUACUGGGAUUGAAACUUGGAAACGAGGUUUGGAGAGGGGUCCGCGGCUGAUUAGCUAGUUGGUGAGGUAACGGCCCACCAAGGCUUUGAUCGGUAGCCGGCCUGAGAGGGCGGACGGCCACACUGGAACUGAAACACGGUCCAGACUCCUACGGGAGGCAGCAGUGGGGAAUUUUGCGCAAUGGGGGAAACCCUGACGCAGCAACGCCGCGUGGACGAUGAAGCAUCUUGGUGUGUAAAGUCCUUUCGGCAGGGACGAAACCCGAGCAAUCGGGCGGACGGUACCUGAAGAAGAAGCCCCGGCUAACUCCGUGCCAGCAGCCGCGGUAAUACGGGGGGGGCGAGCGUUGUUCGGAAUUAUUGGGCGUAAAGGGAGCGUAGGGGUGCGGUAAGUUUGGUGUGAAACCUCCAGGCUCAACUUGGAGCUGGCAUCAAAAACUGCCGUGCUAGAGUGUGGGAGAGGAGAGUGGAAUUCCCGGUGUAGCGGUGAAAUGCGUAGAUAUCGGGAGGAACAUCGGUGGCGAAGGCGGCUCUCUGGACCACAACUGACGCUGAGGCUCGAAAGCUAGGGGAGCAAACAGGAUUAGAUACCCUAGUAGUCC